ACUCCAGUCCGUGCAGUCCAGCAGAGUGGACGUGUGGCCAAUUAAAGGCAUGUGGUAGUCACCAAGAUUGGGAAACUUUUCCCUGCUUUGUUCAUUUCCGUAUGUUUGUCACCAAUUUCAAGAAAUUGUGUUAAAGGGGAUGACGGUUUAUACCAGCUAAAUUAUGACAACAACUUCUGAGACGAGUACGGAGCGCCAGACCCGCCAUUUUUCAUCCAUAUCGGGGACACGUGGCGUCGAUGUAUGGUGACCGGGAGCGGUCUACGCUGGAGACGUUUGAAUAUGUGUGUUGUGUUGUGGUGUCCUAACUGUCUACGUACCGGAACAACGGUUGUGUCAUCUGUCCGUGUGUCUGUGUGUCCGUGUGUCUGUCUAUGUGAUGUCCGGGUUUGGGUGAAAAGUCACCGGAAAUAUACCUAGGAACCAGGAAAAGGAAAUGUGACGAAAUUUAUUGAAAUUUCACUUUCAUUGUUUUGAAUAUUUGUUUCUCGUAUAAUUGUAGUGAUAUUUUUGUGAAAUUGAUUUGAAAGUUGAUAAACGAGUUUAAGGAAAUUAUUUGAAAAUCUUAAUAUAUGUGAAUCAAUUUAAGUGUUUAAAUUUUGGAAAGAAUAUUUUGUUUUGAAGUCAAUUUAAAGAUUUGUUGUUGAAAUUAGAGUCGACUCUGUGUGUUAGAAUCUGGUUUAAUAUUUCUUUCAUUUAUUUUUUUUUCUUAUAUGUAUUUUUUUUCUUAUUAAAUAUUUGUUUGUUU
rnacentral:misc_RNA from 1 species